CAGAAAAGUGGUGGCGAUGCAUGGGGCUGAUUUUAUCUACUUUUUUGGAUUAUGGUGAAGUUUAUUGGUUGAUAACCUAGAUACGAACUCGACGUGUCACAUAAAUUCAACUCAAUCAACUGGAAUGUUAAUUUUUUUUUUUGAGGGAGUAAGCAUAUUUCUUGAAUGAUCAAAAAAAGUUUUUUUCUGUGUAAUGUCAUGGGAUAAGAAGAGAGAUCCGAUCAACUAGAUAAAUGGCAUCUUACGAUCUGAAGGGGUAAUGGUGGUGAAACUGACCAAACACGCGCCACUCUGAUGAGAGGAAUAAAAUGACAAUUCCAAUAAUAAAUGAAAAAAUUGAUGAGCUUCAACGUUUGCAGAAAAAAGUUUCACAGUCGAAAAAAAAUGAUGAAAGAACUUUUGCGGGAAAUACAUACUGUUACAAGCCUGUUAGAAAUCUUGCUAUAAAAUUCGCUCCAGGAACUUCAAAGAAAAAUUAUUUGUAUACAGUAAGAUACAAUCAUUUAUGCGUACGCUGCAUCAUAAUCUAUCAUUAUUUACAAUUUAAAUUGUCACAUAUUUCAGUUCUAUUAUAACAUUUAUUAACUGAUAUUUGGGAAGUUUUUACCGAUAAUGAACUAAUUUCAAAUGUGAAAACCUGCUUCAAGACAUCUACAACCGAGAAACCAGUUGCUGUCUUAAAAUCUGUACAGCCCAAGAAUAGACAUCAAGUAGGUCUUCUUAUAGUCAAUAAGUGGCUAUAUGUCUGAGAACACUGCUGCACUAGCUACUGUAAAUUGAUUUAUGUUCUAUAAUUUCUUGCCGAACAAUCAGCCUCCUGGAAAAACCAUCUCUACGCAACCAGUACUUGCAUUACCAAAAAGGAAUGAAUAAGAAAAAGUUCCUGUAGGAUUGCCAAAGAUAAUUCUCACAAAAGUUACAGCUCAAAUGCAAAGGCCUGAAAUAAAGGUAUGAAAUUCCACAAGCUUGUACUGGUAGAAACGUGGACAGGGAAAAGCUGUGCGAAAUCUGAGAAACAUUGAAAAAUGUGAUUCAAAGUUUGAGGAAGAACCUAGCUGAGACCAAGGAUGACAGGAGACUGAAAAAAGAGGAAAUCUCGUGUCUGAAGAUGAAUCUUCAGAAAACGGAUGAAGUAAUUCAUGCGCAGACAUUAUAGAUCUCGACUCCUAGAAAACUCAACAGGAAGCUAACUGAAAUUUCAAUAAUUAAUGCGGACAAACUUAAUGCUAAAUUGGAAGAAAUAACAAAACACAACACGGUUAAUGACUCCAGCCCUUAUCCUGCUGUGGGAAAAACGCUUCAGAAUGGAUGUUCGAUCAGAUUAAUGUAGGCCAAAUGAAUUUAAUAUACCUUCGAUUUAUUUCUUGGAAUAAUCCCACAAAGACUGUUUUUCUUUCUGUUCGAGCGGUAUGGAAUUUCUGAUACUAGCGGCAGGCCCAUUGUUCGAGCACGUAUGGUUGUCAAAUUUGGGUUUGUAGACAUACGCGGUCGACUACAGCAAUUACGGCAGGGUCAGAAUUUUGAUACUACCUUAAGACUUGGAUCAGACGUGCUUGAGCGAUCGGCGUGAGCGAUCGUGUUUUGUGUGUUCAGUACCAGAAUAACUGCGUUACAGUUAUUCACGAUUGUGCGGGUGCCUGUUCAAUUCCUAGUGGAUUACUGUGUUGUGGCUGUUCCAUGCCUAGUGAAUUGCUGUAUUGUGGCUGUUCCAUGCCUAGUGGAUUACCGUGUUGUGGCUGUUCCGUUCCUAGGGGAUUACUGUGUUGUGGCUGUUCCAUUCCUUGCGGUGAUUAUUGUGAAAGCUGAUCGCGUCGAUUGAUUCUUGUGAGAGCUGAUCUCGAUCUUUAUGUGACUAUGGUGAGACCUGAUCUCUUCACCCAUGUAUUUCUGGCCGGAUUAACUUUAGAUUCACUUUGUCGUGCAAGUUAUUGUGUGGAUUGUGUAAGCUUCUGCUGGUAAGUUCUCGUAGCUCUAAUUAGAAUUGUAUCGGAAUUUUUCCUCC